UACGAAGGUCCCGAGCGUUGUUCGGAAUCACUGGGCGUAAAGGGAGCGUAGGCGGCGCGGUAAGUCAGAUGUGAAAUCCCGGGGCUCAACCCCGGAACUGCAUCCGAUACUGCCGUGCUAGAGGAUUGGAGAGGUAGCUGGAAUUCUUGGUGUAGCAGUGAAAUGCGUGGAGAUCAAGAGGAACACUCGUGGCGAAAGCG
rnacentral:rRNA from 1 species